rnacentral:rRNA from 1 species
GGAAGGGGUGUAUUUAUUAGAUAAAAAACCAAUGCCCUUCGGGGCUCCUUGGUGAAUCAUAAUAACUUAACGAAUCGCAUGGCCUUGCGCCGGCGAUGGUUCAUUCAAAUUUCUGCCCUAUCAACUUUCGAUGGUAGGAUAAUGGCCUACCAUGGUGGCAACGGGUAACGGGGAAUUAGGGUUCGAUUCCGGAGAGGGAGCCUGAGAAACGGCUACCACAUCCAAGGAAGGCAGCAGGCGCGCAAAUUACCCAAUCCCGACACGGGGAGGUAGUGACAAUAAAUACUGAUACGGGGCUCUUUUGGGUCUCGUAAUUGGAAUGAGUACAAUCUAAAUCCCUUAACGAGGAACAAUUGGAGGGCAAGUCUGGUGCCAGCAGCCGCGGUAAUUCCAGCUCCAAUAGCGUAUAUUAAAGUUGUUGCAGUUAAAAAGCUCGUAGUUGAACCUUGGGUCUGGCUGGCCGGUCCGCCUCACCGCGAGUACUGGUCCGGCUGGACCUUUCCUUCUGGGGAAUCUCAUGGCCUUCACUGGCUGUGGGGGGAACCAGGACUUUUAC